rnacentral:rRNA from 1 species
AGCGAACGCUGGCGGCAGGCUUAACACAUGCAAGUCGAGCGGGCCCUUCGGGGUCAGCGGCGGACGGGUGAGUAACGCGUGGGAACGUGCCUUCUGGUCUGGAAUAACCCUGGGAAACUAGGGCUAAUACCGGAUACGCCCUUUUGGGGAAAGGUUUACUGCCGGAAGAUCGGCCCGCGUCUGAUUAGCUAGUUGGUGGGGUAACGGCCUACCAAGGCGACGAUCAGUAGCUGGUCUGAGAGGAUGAUCAGCCACACUGGGACUGAGACACGGCCCAGACUCCUACGGGAGGCAGCAGUGGGGAAUAUUGGACAAUGGGCGCAAGCCUGAUCCAGCCAUGCCGCGUGAGUGAUGAAGGCCUUAGGGUUGUAAAGCUCUUUUAUCCGGGACGAUAAUGACGGCACCGGAGGAAUAAGCCCCGGCUAACUUCGUG